CUCCCUCUCUUCCAUUUCGGCAGCUGGCAGGACUACAUUCAGCGGAAACGAUGCAUUAAAUGCCCAGAUGAAGAGGUCCCUUUUAACCAGGCGCUGAAAACUCUGUGAAGUUNGUGCCUGGCUUACCUCCAUAGACUAUCCCAAAGCCUGGGGUCCGUCAUCUCUGAGGCCGUGAAUUACAGCGGCUAUUAACGAUGCGCUUCAUUCUGUGAUAGAAUGGCAGUUUUCUUGGGAGUCCGAGCAGUUGAGAAACGGUUUUGUAAGAGGGGACGGAAGGCAGGCGAAACAAAUGUGCGGGUGAAAAUACGAGCAAGUGUGUAACUGAACGACUGAGAAAUAGGGGGAGGCAAAGAGGAGCGAAUUUCGCUAGGAGCAUCUCCGCGCUCGCUUUCCCCGCUACUUNCUUCAUUCAAAAAUUUAACCCUUAACCUUCACAGCGGCUAGAACUGAAAAGGGAGUUCCUCCUCCUUCAUAAUCCUUCACUUGUAACAUCACGAUGAAAAAUGAAACAUCAGCAACAAGUGAAAAACGGCGGGGUGGGGCGGAGCGGAGCACUUAUAAGGUGACGGUUUGGGGCGCCUGAGGGCUGCUGGAGCUUGUUGCAACAAGAACAUCUGUCAGUUUUGGGGAUUUGGCCGCUGCAAUGGCAUCUUUUCAGGAGGAACAAAGACGUCCCUGGUGUUUUCUCACCGUUCUGCUGCUAACCGUUUGCGUUUUCAGCGCCUUGCUAACGACGCUGGCGGCACUAGCCGCGACCCUGGCGCCGCAAGGAAAGCAAUCACGGGAGUCGUCGCAAGGCCUCCAGUUUAUAACGAGCCCUGGCGGUGGGUCCAGUACAGAGACGUUACCGGAGACUGCUUGCAUGGGUUUUGGACAGCUCAACGAGCCUUUGUCUUCUUCCACUUCUGCUCAACUGGUCCUUAAGCUCAAUGAAAACGGUACCAUACGGAACAGGACACUGGAAUGGUAUGACAAGUCAGUUGAUAGGGCGUUCCUUGGUAGUGGAUUUAACUACACUGGUACAAAACUGAUGGUUCUCAGUGCUGGCUUUUACAAGAUUUAUGCACAUAUGACUGUGAAACGCCAGGAUGUAAACUCUGAAGAGGAAGUGAACACCAGCUUGAUUGUCCAUCAUUGUAAGGCUAACAGUUUGAUUUCUUCUCCUGUACUCACCCUCCCCUUGCAUUUGUCUUCCACUUCAAAUAAGAAAGUCACAGCAUUCAUGGCUACCUCAUCUUACUGGCUGGCAGAACAGGACACUCUCUUUGUGUAUUUAACAGCUGGUACUCACUCAGGUUUUACUUGGUCCCUUGAUAGCCAGUGCAACAUUUUUGGAGUCUCCAAGAUCUCUGCAGGUUCUAAUUGAGAUGCUCCUGGAGUCAACUUCACUUUUUUCUCCAGAGAAGAGGAUGUUCAAGAAUGGUGGCGAAUAAUUUCAAGCCAUGCCUGUGACGGUUCCUCCAGUCCUAAAACAACGAUUCAGAAGCUCAGGCACAUGUGCCUUGGCUGAAACAGAACUAAGAAAUUCAUGGACAUUUAAUAUCUGUUCAACAUAUUGUUGCAAAAUACAUUCUUCUGUGUUGGAACUAAGCUAGUGUGAGUAAUUGGCAUGAGUCAUGACACUGUUCAGGAUGGUUGUGCCCACGAAGUUUGAGGAAAUGGAGAGCAGAACAGCUGGUCACAGAAAGGGGAGUUAAGGGUAGGGUGAGCUCUGCAAGGCUGCAGCCCUACACACAUUUAUAAGGGAAGCAACCUUUGAACAUAGAGUGCAAAUUAGUUCUGUGUAAAAUGCAUAAGUAUAAGUACUGUCUCUAAGUUCUUUGAAGACACUUUAAAGUUUUAUGCUGCAAAUUUGAGGCAUGAAAUGGGGAAUGGGCCAGCUGCUAGUGCCAUGUGACCAUGGCCCUGGAGAUCAUGUCUCUUGAGGCCCACUCUCACCAGUAGACAUUGUAGUCUGCAAAGGCAGCUAGCAUAGAUCAAAAGGGGCCUUUGGACCUUUCUGCACUUACAUUUAGGUUAGUCUAUGAUGUAGUCUAUGGAUCUUCUUUCUUCAUCAUAGACCAGUCCAAGCGAGGCCCUGUCCACUACUGGUAUGNUCCGUUCACAUAGGUCAUAGAUAAUCCAGAUCAAAGGGACCUUGAUCUGGAUUGCUGGUAGACCAGCAGGCCCCAACCCAGAACAUGGAGGCAACCAUUUUCUGGACUAGUGGGGGAUUCAUUUCAGGGGCAUCUCAAAGCAGCCACUAAAAUGAAUUCCCAGGGCUUCAAGGCUAGAAACCUUUAUUCCUAGCUCUUCAGACAGAGCCCAUCCCCAAAGCUUGUGCAAGUUUUGGCGUCAGUGCAGGGGCUGGUCUGGACAGGCACUGUUGUGUAGACAAUGCUUUUCCAGUCCUCUGUGUGCUGUGAACUGAACCAGUGGGCCUGGCUGGUUCCAACCCCACUGUAUCCCAAUCAUGGCCUUUUGAGUACAGAAUGGCCCAGAUCUUCCAAAGUGGUAAGAAGCCACUUUGAGGUACUUUACCCAAGCUACAAUUCAUUUUAUGCCUUAAUUUAUAUAUUAACUAAUUUAUAGUUGUAAUCAUUAAGUUUAUUAUAUUGAUCUAUUUAAUCUAUAAAUUAAACUAUCCCAUUUUAAAUUGUACUUGAUAACUGAAAGUAAUAACACAACCUAGUUCCAAUGGUGUUAUGGUGCUAUAUUGCUGCUUGUGCAUGCUUUUGUAUAUUUAUCUGCAGAAAAUUUGGUUUCUGUACCCUCUUUCAUUUUACCCAAUAUUCUUUUUCCACAAACCAUCUUCACUUCCAGUCUUUCCCAUAGACAAAUGUGGCCACCCUGCUAUUAUACUAUUGCUAACACUUGUUUUCAACACCUCUCCUGAUAGUUGUAACCAAGCAGUUACAGAACAUCAAAUUCUACAUAAGCAUGGUGAUGGACGGUUUUGUCCCUUCGUCACCAGACCGCUUAGUAUUCAUGCUAACUGGGGAAGAAGGGAAGUCCUGUUCAUCAAGUCCAGAAUGGAAAUGCCAACUACUACUGUAACUCCUUUUUUGCACUGGCUGCUUUACCAGGCAUAUUUAAAAAGCUUCUGUAGAUGUGCAUACUGGUCUCAGGUGUAUGUGUAAAAUAUAUGGCCACUUGUAAUUUGGAAAAAAAUCUGAUAGAAAAAAGUUCACCAACCUUUAAUCUUUAUUAAGUUAAGAAGUCUUCAUUGAGCUCAGAGAAGAGCCUUCAGUUCCUUGGACUUUGUGCAGGAGUGUUUUCUGGUGUACCUUUACAGAAGAGGUAAUGUUAAAAUACAUUUCUACUGACCUUCAUUACAAACCUUAAGGCAGUGGUGCUUAUCAUGUGGUGGUGGUGGUGGUAGUGGAAGCAAAAGGAACCUAUUUUUACUACAGUGUUGCAGUUUCAAGUAGCCACCUAACUUAACAGUUCAUCUUCUGAAAAGGUUCAUAAGUUGCAAACUAUUCCAUGAAUCAAUCGGUCUUCCUGAAUGACCUGUUUCAAGCUCAGACUAUGCCUAGGACAAGGGCCCUUUCUGCACUUGGCCUUAUUCCAGAUUAUAUCUCAGAAUAAGGACCUGCCAUCUGCAUGCUAGUGCAGACUAUGGUAGACCCUGGGCAAGACCUUUUAUAGUUUGCACUAGCAGGUGGAUAGCAGGUCGCUAUUCUGGGAUAUAAUCCACAAUAAGGCCAAGUGCAGAAAGGGCCAAUGUGUCACCAGUAUGAUCCAUCUCUCCAUUUAGACAAAAUCAGUGUCUUGGACUCGUAAUGGACUAAAUGGUGGAUGUUAAGUUGAAGAUGAAUCCUGAGAAGAUAUCCUAUCUGUAUGUCUUAGGUUUUCUCUCCUGAGGGUUUUACUCUUGAAGGAACAAGUAUGUGAUCUAGGGGUACUCCCAGAUCCAGCAUUGUCAAAGUGGCAGUGAAACAGGAAUGGAAGAGAAAUCUCUUAGGAUGAAUUUAGAAAAUUUGUACUCUGUGAACCAAAAUUCAGGUGUCCUCAGAAGCUUGCAUUAUUCUGAUUUUUGUGAUUUCACCGUUUAAUCAAAAUGCCUUAACAGAAAGGAAUAUUUUAGGAAAAGAUGUAAAAAUAUGUAUAUCAAAAUAAAAUUCAUAAAAUUCUUUAUACA
rnacentral:lncRNA from 1 species